rnacentral:rRNA from 1 species
GACGAACGCUGGCGGCGUGCUUAACACAUGCAAGUCGAACGGAAAGGCCCUGCUGUUGUGGGGUGCUCGAGUGGCGAACGGGUGAGUAACACGUGAGUAACCUGCCCUUGACUUUGGGAUAACUUCAGGAAACUGGGGCUAAUACCGGAUAGGAGCUCCGGCUGCAUGGUGGGGGUUGGAAAGUUUCGGCGGUUGGGGAUGGACUCGCGGCUUAUCAGCUUGUUGGUGGGGUAGUGGCUUACCAAGGCUUUGACGGGUAGCCGGCCUGAGAGGGUGACCGGCCACAUUGGGACUGAGAUACGGCCCAGACUCCUCCGGGAGGAAGCAGUGGGGAAUAUUGCACAAUGGGCGGAAGCCUGAUGCAGCAACGCCGCGUGCGGGAUGACGGCCUUCGGGUUGUAACCCGCUUUCGCCUGUGACGAAGCGUGAGUGACGGUAAUGGGUAAAGAAGCACCGGCUAACUACGUG